rnacentral:lncRNA from 1 species
GGUCCUGCCUCUCCAGCCUCCUCUGCUCUGUGACAGUGGCUCAGUCUCUCCUCGUCUCCCAUGACCGUGACAGUCUUGAGCAGAGCUGGCCACGGAUUUUGUAGACUGGUCCUCAGUCUGGAUUUGGUGAUGAUUUCCUCGUGACCGAACUGGGGUUAUGGGUUUUGGGGAAGAGGACAGAGGCGGAGUGCCCCUCUCGUCACAUCACAUUAGGCGCACGUGACAUCCGCAUAAUGUGUCACCAGUGAUGCUAACAACGUUGACUGCUUGGUGAAGAGUCUGCACAGAGCGGGAACUCAGCGCCCGGCACUGGAGGAGUGGAUUAGAAGGCCGCUCUCCACAUUGACCUGCAGAGUGACCUCUCUGACCCCUAGGAUCCAACCUUACCACAGCAGGCAGAAAGCCUUUUACUGGCUCCCAGUGUCCCGGAUGAAGCCCACACGCCGUAAAUGAUGAUGAAGAUGAAGGUGGUAGCUACCACAUACCUCUCUCACAACCCCCACAACAGUCCUGCAAGGCAGGCGAGGAUCAUUGUCCUCAUUUGUCAAAUGAAAAUCUGAUGGCUCAGAGAGGUUCAGUGACUUACCCGAGGUUACUCAGCCAGCGAGCUGCAGACACAGGCACCAAGCCCAGGGCUGUGGGCUGAUUGUUUGACGGGCAUUCGAGGCCUGUCAGCCUCCCUCGCCAGAGAAGUUGCCAGGCUUGUCCAGGUGCCCAGGCAUCAGCCUCGUCUGACUCAGCAAGGAGCAAGUCGGAGGCGGCUGCUUGCCCGUCAGACUGCUGUUUUCUGCCUGAGAAGCAUCACUUGCCUCUUUCUCUUCUGCUCCUCAAGGAUCAUUCUGCAUCUGGGGGGAGUCAUUUUCCACAGAGUCAAGAGUUCUGAAAACUCGCUUUAUUGUUGUACACUGAAAACGGAUAC